GGAAAGUCGUAACAAGGUUUCCGUAGGUGAACCUGCGGAAGGAUCAUUAAAGUUAUAGUCCCCCGGCCCUCUGGGCUGGGGUCUUCUAUACCACCCUUUGUUUAUUACACCUUUGUUGCUUUGGCAGGCCUGCCCUCGGGCUGCUGGCUCCGGCCGGCUCGCGUCUGGCAGAGGACCUAAACUCUGUUUGUAUAUGAAGUCUGAGUACUAUAUAAUAGUUAAAACUUUCAACAACGGAUCUCUUGGUUCUG
rnacentral:misc_RNA from 1 species